rnacentral:rRNA from 1 species
AUCUUCGGAUCUAGUGGCGCACGGGUGCGUAACGCGUGGGAAUCUGCCCUUGGGUUCGGAAUAACUUCUGGAAACGGAAGCUAAUACCGGAUGAUGACGUAAGUCCAAAGAUUUAUCGCCCAAGGAUGAGCCCGCGUAGGAUUAGCUAGUUGGUGAGGUAAAGGCUCACCAAGGCGACGAUCCUUAGCUGGUCUGAGGGGAUGAUCAGCCACACUGGGACUGAGACACGGCCCAGACUCCUACGGGAGGCAGCAGUAGGGAAUAUUGGACAAUGGGCGAAAGCCUGAUCCAGCAAUGCCGCGUUAGUGAUGAAGGCCUUAGGGUUGUAAAGCUCUUUUACCCGGGAUGA